CAGGCUUAACACAUGCAAGUCGAGGGGCAUCAGGAAGAAAGCUUGCUUUCUUUGCUGGCGACCGGCGCACGGGUGAGUAACACGUAUCCAACCUGCCCUUUACUCGGGGAUAGCCUUUCGAAAGAAAGAUUAAUACCCGAUAGCAUAAUGAUUCCGCAUGGUUUCAUUAUUAAAGGAUUCCGGUAAAGGAUGGGGAUGCGUUCCAUUAGGUUGUUGGUGAGGUAACGGCCCACCAAGCCUUCGAUGGAUAGGGGUUCUGAGAGGAAGGUCCCCCACAUUGGAACUGAGACACGGUCCAAACUCCUACGGGAGGCAGCAGUGAGGAAUAUUGGUCAAUGGGCGCUAGCCUGAACCAGCCAAGUAGCGUGAAGGAUGAAGGCUCUAUGGGUCGUAAACUUCUUUUAUAUAAGAAUAAAGUGCAGUAUGUAUACUGUUUUGUAUGUAUUAUAUGAAUAAGGAUCGGCUAACUCCGUGCCAGCAGCCGCGGUAAUACGGAGGAUCCGAGCGUUAUCCGGAUUUAUUGGGUUUAAAGGGAGCGUAGGUGGACUGGUAAGUCAGUUGUGAAAGUUUGCGGCUCAACCGUAAAAUUGCAGUUGAUACUGUCAGUCUUGAGUACAGUAGAGGUGGGCGGAAUUCGUGGUGUAGCGGUGAAAUGCUUAGAUAUCACGAAGAACUCCGAUUGCGAAGGCAGCUCACUGGACUGCAACUGACACUGAUGCUCGAAAGUGUGGGUAUCAAACAGGAUUAGAUACCCUGGUAGUCCACACAGUAAACGAUGAAUACUCGCUGUUUGCGAUAUACAGUAAGCGGCCAAGCGAAAGCAUUAAGUAUUCCACCUGGGGAGUGCGCCGGCAACGGUGAAACUCAAAGGAAUUGACGGGGGCCCGCACAAGCGGAGGAACAUGUGGUUUAAUUCGAUGAUACGCGAGGAACCUUACCCGGGCUUAAAUUGCAGUGGAAUGAUGUGGAAACAUGUCAGUGAGCAAUCACCGCUGUGAAGGUGCUGCAUGGUUGUCGUCAGCUCGUGCCGUGAGGUGUCGGCUUAAGUGCCAUAACGAGCGCAACCCUUAUCUUUAGUUACUAACAGGUUAUGCUGAGGACUCUAGAGAGACUGCCGUCGUAAGAUGUGAGGAAGGUGGGGAUGACGUCAAAUCAGCACGGCCCUUACGUCCGGGGCUACACACGUGUUACAAUGGGGGGUACAGAAGGCAGCUAGCGGGUGACCGUAUGCUAAUCCCAAAAUCCUCUCUCAGUUCGGAUCGAAGUCUGCAACCCGACUUCGUGAAGCUGGAUUCGCUAGUAAUCGCGCAUCAGCCACGGCGCGGUGAAUACGUUCCCGGGCCUUGUACACACCGCCCGUCAAGCCAUGGGAGCCGGGGGUACCUGAAGUACGUAACCGCAAGGAUCGUCCUAGGGUAAAACUGGUGACUGGGGCUAA
rnacentral:rRNA from 1 species